rnacentral:rRNA from 1 species
UACGGAGGGUGCGAGCGUUGUCCGGAAUCACUGGGCGUAAAGGGCGCGUAGGCGGCGCGGGCAGUCAACGGUGAAAGCUUGGGGCUCAACCCCGAGUCGGCCGUCGAUACUCCCGGGCUGGAGCACUGUAGAGGCAGGUGGAAUUCCGGGUGUAGCGGUGGAAUGCGUAGAGAUGCGGAGGAACACCGAUGGCGAAGGCAGCCCCCUGGGUUAACACUGACACUCAUGCACGAAAGCGUGGGGAGCAAACAGG